UACAGAGGUCUCAAGCGUUGUUCGGAAUCACUGGGCGUAAAGGGUGCGUAGGCGGCGGAGUAAGUCGGGUGUGAAAUUUGGGGCUCAACCUCCAACUUGCACCUGAUACUACUUGCUCGAGUCCUGAAGGGAGCUUGGAAUUCUCGGUGUAGCAGUGAAAUGCGUAGAUUCGAGAAGAACGCUCGCAGCGAAAGCGAAGCUCUGGUCAGGUACUGACGCUGAGGCACGAAGGCUAGGGGAGCAAACGG
rnacentral:rRNA from 1 species